AAAGAUAUAUUGCAGAGG
rnacentral:miRNA from 1 species